UACGAGGGGGGCAAGCGUUGUUCGGAAUUAUUGGGCGUAAAGGGUGCGUAGGCGGUUUGAUAAGUCAUCUGUGAAAUCUCUGGGCUCAACCCAGAGUCUGCAGGCGAAACUGUCGGGCUUGAGUAUGGGAGAGGUGAGUGGAAUUCCUGGUGUAGCGGUGAAAUGCGUAGAUAUCAGGAGGAACACCUGUGGCGAAAGCGGCUCACUGGACCAUAACUGACGCUGAUGCACGAAAGCUAGGGGAGCAAACAGG
rnacentral:rRNA from 1 species